rnacentral:tRNA from 1 species
GGCUUUAUAGUCAAUGAAAUGAUAUCAGACUGCAAUUCUGAAGUAGCAAUAUGCUAAAGCUU